UUUAAAAAAGAAUUAGAUGAGUUGGUGGAAGAUAGGUCUAUCAAUGGCUCUUAGCCAAGGUGGUCAGGGAUGCAACCCCAUGCUCUGGGUGUCUCUAAGCCUAUAACUGCAAGAAGCUGGAUUGGAGGGCAAGGGAAUGGAUCACUCCAUAAUUGUCCUGUUCUGUUUGUUCCCUCUGAAGCAUCUGGCACUGGCCACUGUCAGAAGACAGGAUACUAGACUAGAUGGACCAUUGUUCUGACCCAGUGAGGACAUUAUGUUCUUAACUAACGUGAUUGUAAAUGUUAAUGUAGACAAGGAAGAAUCUUAAUUAAUGGGGAUUAAAAACCAAUUAGUAAUCGUAGUGCAGCCAAACCUAAAUAAAGGCUAAUGCCUUGGAACACCUUGUAAUAAUACAGAAUAAGCAAUGGCAAUUAUAAUCAAGACUUUCAUAGUAUUUUGAAAUUCUUAAAUUAUGUGGCAAUAACUUAUUCAGGUCAUUUGGGAAGGGAAGGGUUAAGACUUACCUUCACUUUAUAAUCUUGUUACAAAUAAGUUAACAAUGCAAGAAGUGGGACAGCACCAACUCACUGAAGCAGAAAGAACUUAAUGGAAAAUGUGUAUUAACAAGUGACAGUUAAACAGAACAAAUGAACGUACAUGUCAGAGGUUUCUAAAAAAAUGCUAAAAACUAUUCAAAGGUAAAGCAAUUAAAUGACAGUAGCAUGACUCCUCCCUCAAAAACACACCUUACUUAUGCAGGGUCAGAUGCUUCUUUUACUUACACUGGCUUUGCACUGGUGUAACUACACCGAAAUCAGUGUAAGUCACUUCUGAUUACAUUGGUGUAAGAACUUGAUCCAGAGCCAACAUAGGUUUUUGCCGUUAAAAAAAGAGCUUGACUGGAGAUUGAUAGAAGAAGCAUAAAUCUACAUGAAAUACCCAGUUGGGGUUCUGAGCACAAUACUUUCUAAACCGCUAUGUUAAAUUGAACACUGCUUGGCCUUGAUGCUAAUGAUGAUGGCUCAUCUUCCUGUUAUGUGAGGAUGUAAUGGGGGAGCGCUCAAAAGUCAGGAAUGUUUACUUUUUACCUGCAUUUCAUCUAAAGCGCUUUCAAAGCAUGAGAUUGUUUGGCUGAACCUCAUCACUACAAAUUAACGUCAGAGUCUGCUUUGCCGUUGCAAGCUUGAAAAGCUUCCUUUAUGUUAGAAUUCAUCUGAUCAUCAAAGGAACCAUGAGUAAUGUAUGUUCAAGAGAAAAAGAAUGAUUUAUGUGCUUCAUUGUUAACUUAGAUGACAGACAUUGUUUAAGAUUUAAAAUAUUUCAGAUAACCAUGCAAGUAACCACACUUGUUCUGGAAUUUACAUGAAAAAUGCAGUUUUGUUACAUAGUAAUUACAUACAUGCCUUCCCAGAUCAUAUGCCACUUAUACUUUUCAUGGAGCUGGGGCAAACUCUUGCCCUUUCAAAUUUCAGCCAUGCCUGGUGGGGAUGGGAGUGGUAUAUGCGACAGAGUAGCGAUAGUUUUGUAGUGGGUCCCUGAGUCACCCUGUCAGUAGCCUAGCUCAGGGAUUAUGGGAGGAAAAUGCUCCUAUCUGGACCUCACAGGUGCUACAAAAAGCAUCAUCAUAUAGCUCUUCCCUCCACUGUUCUUGUCACAUGCCUCAGAACGCCACAUGGGAGACCAAAGGCAUAACAAGGUCUCAGGCUGGUAGGCCACAUCCACUUAGCGCACAAAUGUCUGCAUAAGCCACUUCCUCAGUCUGACACGCAAGGGAACUAGGCUGCAAUCCUGCUCAGCUGCUGUGUGGGUGUGCUUGGGGUGGGAUGUACUCUCUGCUCCCUCCAACAAAGGCCGUGCGAAUAAGGCAGGUUUUGUGCCCCAAAAAGUAAAGUAUAAUUGUAUAAAUAUGUAUUGACUGGGACAGUGGCUAUAGCAGACUGAAACCAGAAGGGAAGCUCUCAGCACACAAGCCAAGGACAAGAGGGAGUGGUGAGGGAGUGUCACUUACCUAAGCCAGGGUAAGAGAAGAGAGCUUGCUCUUUACUUUUAGUAGAGGAUGGGGAGCUGUACUACCCCUGCCCCUUCUUUACUGUACUCCUGCUCUGAGGCAGUCUUAUAAGACACAGAGGGCCUGGCAUGUUGGUUUCCCACUGUUGCAUCUCCAUUGACUUCACUGGAUUCUUUACUGUCAAUCUGAGAAAAAUCAAGGCUAGAUUUUGUAUCGAGGAAAAGGAUUUUAAAAUAAAACUUGAGGGUUGGUAAGUUUGAAAACUUUUUAAUAUAAUCUUCUGGCAAAGUUCACCUAGGUAGCUUUUUCCGGUCAAAGUAGUGGCAAGACUCCCAGAGGCUGUACUGGCUCUGGUGUUUCCUUUUGAUUGGUGUGAUGAUUCUGUGCACUUAAAACAACUAAAGGACCAAAAAUCAUAUGCCAUGAGCCCAGGACUCAUGAAAGUGCGUAAAUCAACCAGGCUGUGUGUGAGUGAGGGGGAGAAUGUGGUUAAGGAAACAGAAUUCAGUUUCUGGCUCCCAAAGAGUUAUUUUAAGAAAUGUUAUUUUGUGAGGCCUUUGGGCAGGAGACAGCCUACAAACAAAUAUUUUUUAUGAAAUAUAAGAAAACAAAUAUGGAAAAUAUCUUGGCAAGUGCCCUUUUCAAAACAUUUUUUCUGUUCAUUGAAUACACCCUUUCUAGCUCAUAAUAGGAGGUCAGGAAGGAUUAGGAGGUAGGAUAAAAGACAAUUAUUUAAACAUUAUUAUUCUGCUUAAUUUUGAAGCAUUUCUCAGCCUAAAACAAAGAGUGGCUUUUUAACGUUUCCUGUCUCUCCAGACUCUGAUAAUUCCUUAAACAAUGCAAGUUGGUGCCUUGCUCGUUUAACUUACUCAUUAUAUUAAAAGGGCUAAAUCCAGAGGUUUUUGCUUCUGAUUUAACUUUUAAAAUUAAAGCUCAAAGAUCCGAAAAUUAACAAAAGCUUCAGCUACAGCAACAGCUGGGGCCAGAUUUUCUGAAAUGCACUCCCCAAUAAUUCUGGCCACGUCAUUUAGGUGCCUACAUGAGAGCUGUCAGGUGCUGAGCACUUCUGAAAAUCUGGUUGUCACAGGAUAGGAUCAAACUGUGGCUUCCCCUCUGUUGGUGCACAGGGGUGGGGUAGAGGGUGCAGAAAAAGCUCCUUCCCCACCAUAGGAGGUAGGCAGAAUGCUCUGUCUAGCUCUGCUUGAGCACAAAGGGGGUUGGGUUAGCACAGCCAGCUGCUCUGAACACCCAAAAGAAGGCUUGGCUGUGUGAAUUGGGUGACCAGGCUCCUGUCUCCACUCUGCACAUCUGCUGUCCAGAGGCCAGCACUGGAGGGAAUGCAAAAAUAAACUACAUUUAAGAAAAAAGGUGGUAGUGUGCUGAAUGCUGCUCCUCAGCAUGCUCCAUGAGGAACUACACAUGCGUUCUCUGGAAUCUGCACUGUGCAGGAAACAAGCCUCCAGCUAUCACCACACUUCACUCAAGUAUUUGUGUUCAGUGUUCCACACAAGUAGUCAGCAGGUUUACACAUGUACAGUAUUUGCUUUCGAGGAGUGUGGCCAUCUUAGCCACUACACCUCUGUAAUCUAGAGCUUAGCCUGUGCUUUUAACAUUUUAAAACUUUUUCUUCUUGAUGCUUCCCAUUUGCUUUGUUGUUUAUUUCUUAAAUGAAACAUCAAGGGGAAAUGUUUUCAAUUGAAAAACAAACCGAUAUGUGAAUUGUAAAGUCCUAGUGCAAAGCAUAGAUAAAGGGAAGGUAGAGAACCCCACCUAGGCAACUACUGAAUGGGAAAACAUCUAGGAAGACUGGUUAAAAACCUGUUUUAAAAUAAAAAGUAAACAAGUUAAUUGUCCUUCAGCUGGAUGGUGUUUAGUUAGUUAGUUCUUAAACAAUUUAUAGUUUUUCAAAGUAUUUUGUCCAUGCCAGAGAAGCUAAUUUUGUUUUAAAGAAAUUUCCAUCUUAGCUCUCCUCUGUGGAUAUUGGAAAUAAGAUCCAGUGAAUGUCUCUGUUACUCUAUUUUAUAUCUCAUAGUGUAAGAUAGCUGGUAUCAAUCAGAAUAGGAAACAUUUAACACUAUGAUGUUAUUCAGUGACAGUUUCUUAUAUAGUUGAAAAUAAAUAUAUUGACUACAUCGUUUCGUUCGGAGCCUGUAAAGAGAGAGAGGAGGAGGAGAGAGAGGAUAUAUAUAUAUAUAUAUAAGAGAGAGAGAGAUUUCUCCUCUCUGCAUACUGCAUGUAUAAAUAUAUAUAAAUACAUGCAUCCAGGCUAUGUAAAAUAACAGAAGAGAAGAAUAUAUCUGAGUUACAACCUGUCAUUUACUAUUAGUAUAUAACUUAGAAAAUAUUUUCCCUUUGCUUAAAAAAUUCUCUCUCCCUCCCCCAAUACAAGUCCAGGGAAGUGCUGGCGGGGGUAGAUUCUCAACCAAAUAUGUGGAACUUUAGGGCCCGAUUCACCAGUUCAUUUAAGCAUGUUACACUUUAGACUGUGCUUAAAUGCUUUGCUGAAUUAGAGAUAGAGUCAGGCAUGACAGCCCCUUACAGUAUGCUGACUCCACAGUAGGACAGCUGAUCUUGGGGACCAUUAAGCCUUUUGCUUAAGGGGGGCAGACGGAAUCCACUUCUGCUUUACAGCGAGGAACUGCUCAAUAACUGUCAGGAAAAAAAAUGGGAAACAUUUUCCUGAAAACAAAACAAAUGUAAGAAACAUCCUACCGCUUUUGCAAAAAUUAUGACCAUCUCUAAUCCUGCCUCUCUCGUCCUGCACUCAAGAGAUCCUGGUAGUUAGUUCCCAGUGGCAAAAAGUCUAAGCAGAGGGGAUAUUGCAGUGGUACAAGACUCCUUCAGUAUCCCCUCAGCUGGGGGAAAUGCAACCACCUUGAGCAUUUCCAAGAGUAGCAGCAUUGACCAGAGAGGGAGAAUGGCCGAGGCAGCUGGGGAUGCACUGAUUCUGUUGGCAGGAAUCACAGUCAGAGAUUAAAGUUGCCACCUUAAUGGAAACUAUGAGGGAUGAGAGACAGCAGUACUGCCAGCUGCACUUCAGUAGCUGAAUGCACCUCUGGGAGCAGCAGACCAGGCUGACGAAGGGAGGUGCAACAUUUCAGUGGAGCAAGAAGAUGGGUUCCUAAAGUUAGGCAUCUAAUAGUCCAGUGAAAUGAGGGUGCUGUUAUGAGGGUUAAGCACCUAGAGCUUCCCAUAAAGUCAAUCAGAGUUCAGGGCACCAAGCACUGGGGACACAAGUUAGUAGCAAGGCUGGACUGAGAACUCAGGAGUUCCUGGCUCCCAGCCUUGAGCUUAAACCACUAGAUCAUGUUACCUCUCCCAAGCUGUCAAUUAUCCCCACUGAUGAUGAACUAUAUGGAAUACCUGUUAGAAACCGAUAUAUUUUAUUUGGCUCAUUGACACCAAUAUUUUCUCUAUGGAAAUGUCAGGAACAAGACUCUUGUGCAUAUUUAGUAAUGAAAGUAAAAACAAAUGUGCCAUUAAAGGUGUGUGUCUGUAUAUGGUGUGGGCCAUAUUCUCUGGUAUUGCUUUGGGCUGCUCUGAUGACAUACAAUGGCAAACACAUUAACUUGCUGAUUGAACCUAGUUUAUAACUAUGUUGCAUCACUGGAGAAGUGCAAAGCAGCUGAAAUGUAUCAGUAACACUGGCCGUUACAUAUUCACACACAUUUUAUGUGUGUGGUGAUGAUAGCCGUAU